rnacentral:lncRNA from 1 species
UUUUUUUUGACAGGCAGAGUGGACACAGAGAGAGAGACAGAGAGAAAGGUCUUCCUUUGCCGUUGGUUCACCCUCCAAUGGCUGGCACACUGCGGCCGGCGCACUGCGCUGAUCCGAUGGCAGGAGCAAGGUGCUUCUCCUGGUCUCCCAUGGGGUGCAGGGCCCAAGCACUUGGGCCAUCCUCCACUGCACUCCCGGGCCACAGCAGAGAGCUGGCCUGGAAGAGGGGCAACCAGGACAGAAUCCGGCGCCCCGACCAGGACUAGAACCUGGUGUGCUGGCGCCGCAGGCAGAGGAUUAGCCUAGUGAGCCGUGGCGCCGGCCCAGAAUCAUUUUACACAAAGAUUUUAUCUAAUUCCGCAGAAACAAACACAUUUUAAUUUAUUGAAAGCAGAGCAACAGAGAAAGAUCUUCCAUCCACCGGUUCACUCCUUAAAUGGCUACAGCAUCCGGGUCUGGCCAGGCAGGAGCCAGCAGCCAGGAACUCUGCCCUGGCCUCCCACGUGGGUGCAGGGGCCCAAGCUGGAUCGGAAGCGGAACAGUCAGCCGGGACUCAAACUGGGGCUCCCAUCUCUGCAGCCGCUGCCUGGCCAGCAGAAGCUCAGGCUGGAGCAGCCACAGGGCGGCCUCUGGAGCCAGGCAAGGGGAAGCCAGCACCGCAAGGCAGUGGGUGCAGGUGAGCCAAGGAGAUGCGCCUGGGCCCUGCGCCGAAGCCGCCUUUCAGUGCUCCCGAGGACGAGGAGGGGCCACGUCGCUCGUUCCUGUAAGGAAAAUCCCACCCAGCGGGGCCGUCAGCCCCCAGGGUCCCACAGUGCCUCCUGCUGGAGCCAGGUUUUGACCCCGGUCCCUGCAACCCCAGAUCCCAAUCUCUACCCCAGCGGAGGCGGAGCCAAAGUGGAAAAGGCCUGAAGUGCCUGGGGGGGGGGGGGGCAACCUAAGGGGCAGGUGGCACCCGGAGGACAUGGACGCCAGGGGCCCUGCCCUGAGCCAGCCACGAGCAGCGGCUUUGGGGCUUUCUGAGUUCAGAGGUCACGGUCAGCCAGGUUGCAAAUGUGAGGAACCAGGCCCAAUCUUCGUGGGACGAGAUUCUGAUAAGGGGGCCCCUCUGGGAAACUCGGAGCCCGUGUCCUGCACGGUCCAGGAGCUCACAGCCCUGCCUGGUCCUGCCCGUCUCACCAGCAGGGACACACCUCGAAG